AGGGGUGGUUAGAUCUUGUCUCUAUGAUCAGGAUCAUGAGAUUUCCUCUCUUCACAUUUACAGAAAUACACAGACAAGCCUGGAAAUCUCUCUGACCUCCAGGAACUGGAGCAGGCCACAGACUUAGGUGGACAUCCCCCACUCCCUCGUGGGAUUUUUAUCCCACCCUUCCUGAGGUGUGGGUGUGGGUGCUGGAGCAGAAGAAAAUUCAAAUGUGCAGAGGAAUGGUACACCUGGACCAGCACUGUAAAGCAGUGGAGCAGAGGACGAGUGUGAGGAGUGUGUGAGGUGACUUCUAAUGAUCAACAAGAAGAACAUUCCGGAAGGUGUGUAAACACUCCAGCCAGCGGCGGACUCGAGCAGCGAGGCUGGGCGGCGAGGGCUAAUAGCGAGCGACGGUGAGUUUGACAGAUGCCUGAGCCGAUGACCAUCUGCCCUGAACAGCAGAGGUGCUGAACUGCAGAUUUCAGCCUGUUCCCUCCAUGCUAGCCCCCGAAAACCAAGCCCGAGGAGGAGGAGGAGGAGGCCCCUGGACAAAGGGGGCGAAGCGGUGCAGGAGCCGGGCCUCGGCU
rnacentral:lncRNA from 1 species